CCUACGGGCGGCAGCAGUGAGGAAUAUUGGUCAAUGGCCGUAAGGCUGAACCAGCCAAGUCGCGUGAAGGAAGAAGGAUCUAUGGUUUGUAAACUUCUUUUAUAGGGGAAUAAAGGUAUCCACGUGUGGAUAGUUGCAUGUACACUAUGAAUAAGAAUCGGCUAACUCCGUGCCAGCAGCCGCGGUAAUACGGAGGAUGCGAGCGUUAUCCGGAUUUAUUGGGUUUAAAGGGGGCGCAGGCGGGCCUUUAAGCCGGAGGUGAAAUCGCGGGGCUCAACCCUGCCUAGCCGUCGGAACUGGGGGCCUUGAGUGCGGCGGAGGCAUGCGGAAUGCGCGGUGUAGCGGUGAAAUGCAUAGAUAUCGCGCAGAACCCCGAUUGCGAAGGCAGCGUGCCGUGCCGCCACUGACGCUGAGGCACGAAAGCGCGGGGAUCGAACAGGAUUAGAUACCCCUGUAGUC
rnacentral:rRNA from 1 species